rnacentral:rRNA from 2 species
CACCUGAUUGAUUUUGGUCGCCAACGAGUGGCGGACGGGUGAGUAACACGUAGGUAACCUGCCCAGAAGCGGGGGACAACAUUUGGAAACAGAUGCUAAUACCGCAUAACAGCGUUGUUCGCAUGAACAACGCUUAAAAGAUGGCUUCUCGCUAUCACUUCUGGAUGGACCUGCGGUGCAUUAGCUUGUUGGUGGGGUAAUGGCCUACCAAGGCGAUGAUGCAUAGCCGAGUUGAGAGACUGAUCGGCCACAAUGGGACUGAGACACGGCCCAUACUCCUACGGGAGGCAGCAGUAGGGAAUCUUCCACAAUGGGCGCAAGCCUGAUGGAGCAACACCGCGUGAGUGAAGAAGGGUUUCGGCUCGUAAAGCUCUGUUGUUAAAGAAGAACACGUAUGAGAGUAACUGUUCAUACGUUGACGGUAUUUAACCAGAAAGUCACGGCUAACUACGUGCCAGCAGCCGCGGUAAUACGUAGGUGGCAAGCGUUAUCCGGAUUUAUUGGGCGUAAAGAGAGUGCAGGCGGUUUUCUAAGUCUGAUG